AAAGUACUCCCUCCGUCCCAAAAUUCUUGUCUUAGAUUUGUCUAGAUACGGAUGUAUCAAGUCACAUUUUAGUAUUAGAUACAUCCGUAUCUAGAAAAAUCUAAGACAAGAAAUUUGGGACAGAGGGAGUAGUUC
rnacentral:pre_miRNA from 1 species